CUUGGAUCGCGCGCACAAUAUCACAAUAUGAAUAGAAUCGGAAGGAGAAACAACAAAGCAUGUAAUAAGAAACGAAACUGUAUUUCAUCUGGAGAGUGUGUAAUAUAAUUAUCAAACGUUCAUCAAGUUCGCUAAUAAACAUUCUCAUGGAGAAUAUCCGUUUGCUUAUCACAAAGAAAAAAGAACAACGAAGUCUAUAGAAGAUCAUAAAAAUGAAGAAGAACCUCAUAGAGCAGCGAAUUCGUCGGAUUCGAAAAAACGCCCAAGCUGCCUCGAAGUUCUUGGGAAACGCAAUACGACUACCGGACUCUUAACUAAGACGACAUCAACGCUAUAACAUCGACCAUAUAUCAAUCAUACGUUAAGCAGAGGAAAGGGGAUACGGAUAAAGAGGAGAGGUGCAAUAAUGGCUGCCUGAAGAAGUCUUAGUAACGAUGCAGAAGAUUAUGCGAUCAUCGAAUAAUCGACACGCGAGUUUCUUCUUAUCAAGCUUCAAG
rnacentral:misc_RNA from 1 species